rnacentral:lncRNA from 1 species
UCCAUUGAUCAAUCAGAAGGGGUGCUAAUUGGGAUUGUUCACUAGCCAAUAUUUUAGCAAAUAUCGCCGUGGGCGCUUAUUAGAGUGGGGCGCUUAUUACGUCGAAUACGGUAUAUCAUUUUUCUGUGUCUGAAACUAAGUGUUUUCUUAUUCAUUUCAAUCAGUAUGUAAUUACAUCUUACUGAACUUGCUGUGUCCUCAAUACUGUAAAUCUUGAAAUUAAUGCGAGCGUAAAUUAAAUGCGAAAAAUGUGAGUGGUCUUUGCUCGCAUGAAUUAACUUUGCAUUUAUGUCUCCAAAAUGACUAUCAACAACAGACAGCCUCGCCGCACACUUUGGCUAGCGGAAAUACCAGCUUGAAUAUAAACACAAACACGGUUUAUUGAGCAGCAGUUGCAACAAGUACAUAACAAUGCCAUUCAAAGAACAGGAUUGAUUGGAUUACAGUAAGGUUGGAUUAAAGUAAGGAUAUGUAUCAUUCCACUGAGGAUGAGCCGGGGGGAGCCUCAUUGAUUUUGAGUCGCAUUUUUGGCUAGGGGUCAGCAGUCGUAUUAAUUUAGAGAUGCAUUAAUUUCAAGAUUUUCAGUAUAUUUUGGUGAAGGUUGUAUUCCCCACUUGUAGAUAUGAAACAAGUUUUACACGGGGUGGGAAGUAUUUGAAUGCCAUCAUUCUGGUAUUCAUGGCUUGAUUUAGAAUUUGAUUUAACUUGCACCAGAUGCAUGAUGAAGUGAAAAGCUAGUUGCACCAGACAGUAUCAGGUUGCACCCUGGUCCCAUAAAGUGGAAACACAAACAUAAACUAGUCUAAAAAAGUAUAAUAUCAGUUUCUCUGAUAGGCAUUUAGAAGUUGGAGUACUAAGUAAGGAUAAGAUUUAUGGAUGAGCAACUUUUUUAUUACAAUUAAGAGCAACGUUUGAGUGUAGGUUCUAACACCGUUAGCAAGCAAGUGAUCACUUACUUGAUAACAGUGUUAGAACCUACACCAAAAUGUCGCUCUUGUAAUAAAGAAGUUGUUCAUCCAUUAAUGUUAUCCUUACAUAUAAUAUCAGUUGUCUGAUGACUCAAUUGUCAUGAAUUACACAUAACACAGGAAUUAGUUAUGUAGUAUGGAGUGGACAUGUUGGGGUUAAUUACUGUCAGACAUACAUGGACGUGUAGCAUGCACACAUUACUAUUAGGUUGCAUUUUUCACUAAUAGGUUGCACUGGUGCAUGUUUUAUACAGUUAAUUCGAGUCCUGGUACUGGGAAUUAUAAAACUAGAGGAAGGCGAAGUGGUAUCUGUUAACAAAGAAUCUCAGUGCUGCAAUCGUUAAAGGAUCUUCUUGAAAAAAGCCUCUUCUUCUCGUAUAAUUCGUUUUAAACAUGUUGAUGUUUGAAAAUGAUCUGAUUUUCUGUCUCGUAAUUUCACAUGCAUAAUUAUUCUUUUACAGUAUGUCAUAGUUUUCUUUUAGUGUUAUUUAAUCAGUUGUGAUAUAAUAUUGUUUCCUUUGUUCUGUUGAGUAUGUCUGUGUGGUGUGGAGAUGAAGGUUGACAAAGUAUGCUGGAGAUCACACCUUGGAGCAGAUCCUCGAAAAUGUUGAAACUGAGGUUGUCCUUUGUCAAAAUGUAUAGUUAACCAGAUUUAGUAAAUUCAGUUGCUUUUUACAUAUAAAAUGGUUACACCGAUAGGAUGUCAUUUUGAAGUAUUUAUCCAAGAAAACAUCAGAUUUUUACUUUUGAUGAUGGAGGGACUGGAUUUAGUUGUUUUCAUAGGAUGGUAACUUAAUUUGGGUCCAUGUUUUGGUUGUCUUGACUUUACGGGGAGAUGACUUCAAGUGCAGAUAUAGGUUGUCUUCACGUGGUUGGGAUUAAGGGUCUAGAUUUGGGUUGUCUUCACGUGGUUGGGAUUCAGGGUCUAGAUUUGGGUUGUCUUCACGUGGUUGGGAUUUAGGGUCUAGAUUUAGGUUGUCUUCACGUGGUUGGGAUUUAGGGUCUAGAUUUGGGUUGUCUUCACAGGGUUGGGAUUUAGGGUCUAGAUUUAGGUUGUCUUCACAGGGUUGGGGUUUAGGGUCUAGAUUUAGGUUGUCUUCACGUGGUUGGGAUUUAGGGUCUAGAUUUAGGUUGUCUUCACAGGGUUGGGAUUUAGGGUCUAGAUUUAGGUUGUCUUCACAGGGUUGGGAUUUAGGGUCUAGAUUUAGGUUGUCUUCACAGGGUUGGGAUUUAGGGUCUAGAUUUAGGUUGUCUUCACAGAGUUGGGAUUUAGGGUCUAGAUUUAGGUUUUCCUGUACAGGGUUGGGAUUUAGGGUCUAGAUUUAGGUUGUCUUCACAGGGUUGGGAUUUAGGGUCUAGAUUUAGGUUGUCUUCAAAGGAUGGGGAUUUAGGGUCUAGAUUUAGGUUGUCUUCAAAGGAUGGGAUUGAGGGUCUAGAUUUAGGUUGUCUUCAAAGGAUGGGGAUUUAGGGUCUAGAUUUAGGUUGUCUUCACAGGGUUGGGAUUUAGGAUCUAGAUUUAAGUUGUCUUCACAGGAUGGUGAACAAGGGCCCAGAUAGAGGUUGUCCUCACCAUCAAAUUCCUGUGUGUUGACGAUGUCAUGGGAUGGUAUUCAGUUAUGCAAGAUAAAUCUACACUUUGAUACUUGAGAUUGCUAACAUGGAGGGUGUGUGUGCAUGAUGGUUACUUAGCACGUCCAUUGGUUUAUUGUUACAUGUAAAUAGAGGCAUUUCGUAUUUAGAUAUAUACCCCAAGAAUGUUUUUUAUUCUGUAUUUGAUCAUGCGCAACAGAUUUUAUGGCAGUGUUCUUCUUGUCAUAGAUGAAUUGUUUGUAUAUUUUUUUAUACUAUUGAGUACUGAUUUUUGGCAAAUAAAUUGUUAUGCUGUUA